AUUGAACGCUGGCGGCAGGCCUAACACAUGCAAGUCGAGCGGAUGAGUGGAGCUUGCUCCAUGAUUCAGCGGCGGACGGGUGAGUAAUGCCUAGGAAUCUGCCUGGUAGUGGGGGACAACGUUUCGAAAGGAACGCUAAUACCGCAUACGUCCUACGGGAGACAGCAGGGGACCUUCGGGCCUUGCGCUAUCAGAUGAGCCUAAGUCGGAUUAGCGAGUAGGUGAGGUAAUGGCUCACCUAGGCGACGAUCCGUAACUGGUCGGAGAGGAUGAUCAGUCCCGCUGGAACUUAGACACGGUCCAGACUCCUGCGGGAGUCAGCAGUGGGGAAUAUUGGACAAUGGGCGAAAGCCUGAUCCAGCCAUGCCGCGUGUGUGAAGAAGGUCUUCGGAUUGUAAAGCACUUUAAGUUGGGAGGAAGGGCAGUAAGUUAAUGCCUUGCUGUGUUGACGUUACCAACAGAAUAAGCACCGGCUAACUUCGUGCCAGCCGCCGCAGUAAAAC
rnacentral:rRNA from 1 species